ACGUAGGGGGCAAGCGUUAUCCGGAUUUACUGGGUGUAAAGGGAGCGUAGACGGCGAGACAAGUCUGAAGUGAAAGCCCGGGGCUCAACCCCGGGACUGCUUUGGAAACUGCCUUGCUAGAGUGCUGGAGAGGUAAGUGGAAUUCCUAGUGUAGCGGUGAAAUGCGUAGAUAUUAGGAGGAACACCAGUGGCGAAGGCGGCUUACUGGACAGUAACUGACGUUGAGGCUCGAAAGCGUGGGGAGCAAACAG
rnacentral:rRNA from 1 species